GAUGAACGCUGGCGGCGUGCCUAAUACAUGCAAGUCGAGCGAAUGGAUUAAGAGCUUGCUCUUAUGAAGUUAGCGGCGGACGGGUGAGUAACACGUGGGUAACCUGCCCAUAAGACUGGGAUAACUCCGGGAAACCGGGGCUAAUACCGGAUAACAUUUUGAACCGCAUGGUUCGAAAUUGAAAGGCGGCUUCGGCUGUCACUUAUGGAUGGACCCGCGUCGCAUUAGCUAGUUGGUGAGGUAACGGCUCACCAAGGCAACGAUGCGUAGCCGACCUGGGAGGGUGAUCGGCCACACUGGGACUGAGACACGGCCCAGACUCCUACGGGAGGCAGCAGUAGGGAAUCUUCCGCAAUGGACGAAAGUCUGACGGAGCAACGCCGCGUGAGUGAUGAAGGCUUUCGGGUCGUAAAACUCUGUUGUUAGGGAAGAACAAGUGCUAGUUGAGUAAGCUGGCACCUUGACGGUACCUAACCAGAAAGCCACGGCUAACUACGCGCCAGCAGCCGCCGCAG
rnacentral:rRNA from 1 species